rnacentral:rRNA from 1 species
GAGUUGUAAUUUGAAGAAGCGUUUUCUGCGUAUUUGGUCAACCCAAGUCCUAUUGAAUGAGGCAUCAUGGAGGGUGAUAAUCCCGUCCGGUUGAUCAUUGCGUUUUACGAUACGCUUUCUAAGAGUCAAGUUGUUUGGGAUUGCAGCUUAAAGUGGGAGGUAAAUUUCUCCUAAGGCUAAAUAACGGCGAGAGACCGAUAGCGAACAAGUACCGUGAGGGAAAGAUGAAAAGAACUUUGAAAAGAGAGUUAAACAGUACGUGAAAUUGUUGAAAGGGAAACGAUUGAAGCCAGUCGUACCAGCGGAUAAUCAACCUUUAGAUGCGAUUUUGUGGAGUGUGAGGAGCUAAUCGCCUUCAUACCUGUAUAUUCGUGUACUUGGGGUGUACUUAUUCGUGGGGUAAGUUAACAUCAAUUUUGGUGGUCAUAAAAUGACUGGAGGAAUGUAGCUUCGAUCUCGUAUUGAAGUGUUUAUAGCCUUUGGUAGAUGUGAUGAUCGGGAUUGAGGAUUGCAACGGAUACCCUUCGGGGCUACCCGUCUGAUCUCUGAAAGUUGCUCUGGUGCUGAAAGCUUGCUU